rnacentral:lncRNA from 1 species
GAUCCUGUGCGACCGAUUACGUUCAUGUAAGAUUCUGUUCCUGCCAUAGAAAAACUCUGAGUGGAAUCAGAAUGAGACCCAGAUCAGAAUUCCUGAAGUUGGUUUGUGUCUGGACUCUGAUUGCUCUCAUGCAAGGUUCAGAUGCAAGACAUCCACCAAAGAAAGAUGCUGUCCCCUGCAAGCCGAAAGAGCUGACGGCCCUGACCAAAAGUCGGGUUGAAGACAGCUUAAGAGGAUUUGAUGAAGCCAACGGGAAGCACCUGGGCACCUGGUCCCCGGGUUUCCCCGAGCUCCAGGUCCACAAGAACGCCCCUCUGAAUGGGCCGAAGGUUCAGUGCAGCCUCAUCUUCAUGGCUCAAGGCCUGGAGGAGGUGUUGGAGGACCAGAAAAACAACCUGAACCCCAAAGAUGUGUCACUUCACAAGGAGCUCCAGGACACCAUCGCCCGUGUGAAAAUGCUCACAGCGUGCCUCAAGGAUGCUCUCGGAGGCGAAUGCUCCCCAAAGCCGUCCCCGCCCAAGAUGCCGAGGCAUACGUUUGAGAGGAAGCAGUGGGGCCACACCCUGCUGAAGACCGCCAGGGGCUAUCUGGACUGGCUGCAGCACAAGAUUGAGGUGAAAAAUAUGAAUAGGUUCAAAAAACCCAUGCAGGGAAGCACAUACCUCAUUUAAUGUUUAACUAUAGGUUACAGAUUAUGGCAGUUUAUUAUCACCUCUACUUCAAACCCUCGGUAUAACAGCCAAUUAAAUCAGAAUCAGAAAUACUUUAUUAAUCCCAAGGGGAAAUUAAAUACACUUUAAAUGUGCAGUUUGAUAUUGUGAGUUCUAUGAUCAGGUUGGUACCACUUUCAUAUCUGUGCAUUAAGAUGAAGUAAGGAGACGAUUAAUUGAGUUUUAAAAUACAGUGCCCAGAUUAUUUUCUUGCAUUUCUUCUUGGCAUGUCUGCAUAAAUAAUCUCAGUUUAUUCUCAGCAACAAUUAUGCAAAUUUCCUAAAAACUAUCAGAAGUGUCUUCAAUAUAACUUGAUACCUCGCAGCAAUUGACAUGUCCCCAUGUGACUUGUAAUUAAUCAACAUGCCAACAAAGCAAAUGAGAAGGGGCUCUAAUACAUCUCCUCAUUAGGACAGUUUGUUUUCUCAGCCUUCACAGUGAUUAAUUGUUCUGCUCCGGCCACCUUUCCCUUGUGAGUGGGCCACACUGCCUGAGGUAGAAACAGAAGCUGAUAAGAAUCGCCUUCGAAAAAAAAACACCAGUUUUGGACGGCAGUCAGUGCCAUGUGUGGACAGAUGGACAGUGCACAGAAAGGCAGAUAAGACUGUCAGACUCCCAUCAAAGAAAUGCAAGAGAACAAUACUGUAAGAAAAUAAGAUUAAUGUGGGUCCCAUCCUCCUGAAAUUAGGUGAUCAAUUAACUGUCAAUGUCCUGUUUGUUCUGCAAGACGUCUGUGUAAAAACUUUAUAAUGUCGUAAAUUAAUAAGGUUACUGAAAUUUUAUAUAUAUAUUUUUGGAGAAAAUUGACUUUUUUUAAAAUAAAGAACUG